UACGUAGGGGGCAAGCGUUGUCCGGAUUUAUUGGGCGUAAAGAGCGUGUAGGCGGCCGUACAGGUCAGCUGUGAAAACUCGAGGCUCAACCUCGAGACGUCGGUUGAAACCGUACGGCUAGAGUCCGGAAGAGGAGAGUGGAAUUCCCGGUGUAGCGGUGAAAUGCGCAGAUAUCGGGAAGAACACCCGUGGCGAAGGCGGCUCUCUGGGACGAUACUGACGCUGAGACGCGAAAGCGUGGGGAGCGAACAGG
rnacentral:rRNA from 1 species